CUAGGUAAUCAGUCCAUGUCUAAUAUAGCCAGUAUCCCUUCCCUUAGUUAACUCCUUUCUACCACUCAUAAGUUUUCUGGAACUGGCAAUCCCAGGACCUUUCCCCAGGUAAAUCCAAAGACAUUUGGCCCAAGCUAGGCCAAUCAGACUUUUCUCUCCUAGGACAUAACAAAAUUAAAACUGGGUAGUUUGAUAAAAUGGCCUAAAGUUACAUUCUGUGAUUUGCUAUUACUCAAUUUUCAAGAUUUGCUCUUGUUCUUCCUCUGAGUGCUGAUUAAUUCUUCCUUCAGUUUUGUAAGUUACUCAGUCUCGUUCCAAUAAAGUCAUCAUUUUUCAUUGUCAGUGAACAUUUCUGUUGUUUACAACCCAGGAAUGCCACCAGAAGUGUGGUGGAAAGUCAAACAACAUAUAGUGAAGGAAGAAUAGGAUUAGGGAAGGGGAAGACCAUGUAUUGAUCUGGUCAUGUUUGUCACCUGCAUCUGUUAUGACAUCAGAGGGUAUAUGUUUGUUUAUGACCCUUAAAGAGUUAUUGUGAGAAUUGGCUUCUCCUAUUUGGUCCAUUCUUGAAGCUUCAGCCAUGCUGACAUUUUUCCUUUUCCUCAAAAGGACCAGAUUAUUCUUGUCUUUUGUGUGGCCUUAGUAACACUUCUGCUUGAAGUGUUACUGUCAUAAUCAUGACAACCCUUAAACUAACAAAGUACAACUUAUUUUGAAUGUCCUCAUUAACUGUCAUUUUCUUUGAGAAAGCUUCUGUGUCCACAAAGACAACAAAAGGUUGUAGCUUCAAGAAAGACAUAAAAAGAGUCAAAAGGAGGGGACUCAAGAUGGCGCUGUGAGAACAACCCAGGAUUGGAGCCCGCGUUGAAUUCGCAAACGGGGCUAGGAGAAUUGGGAAAGUACCUGGAUUAUCAGCAAGUAUGGUGGGAAGGAAGAAUAUGAGCACACAACUGCACAGUAAGAUGCUCUUCUCUGUCCGCGUGCCUGUGUGUGUGUGUGUGUGUGUGUGUGUGUCUAUAACAGUGG
rnacentral:lncRNA from 13 species